AAUGGAGCCGGACAAAAAAAAAGAGGGACCAAAACGAAAUUUGAACAAAGAUUAGGUACCAUUUUGUGUAAAAAGAACCCAAUUCAAUUUUGGUCGGCAGAGUUCUUCUGUUUCGAUUACAGUUUCGUCAAAGUCAGGGCAAUCACAGGGAGUGGAGACAUCAAUUUAUUUCUGAUUUCUCCCAAACCCUACCACAAAUUUUCACUCAAUCCCUAGCCCCAAAUUUCCCCUAAACACAGUCACAGAAUUCGCAAUCCAUUCUCAACUUCGAAACCAAACCCAUCAAGUUCUUCUCCUUUAAUCAGCGAAGAUGGUGUUGGCGCAAUUGGGAGGGAGCAUUGGACGUGCUCUCGACGAGAAGGUCCUGAACGAGUCGUGCUCUGCUCCAAUCCGAUGCUCAAUUCAAGCUCGUCCGUGACAUGCAGACCAAUAUAAAAAAAGAUCGUCAAUUUGGAUGAUCUCGCUGCUGGUCACAACAGGCUAUAUUUAACAAACUUUGCAAAAUGGUGGAUCCAGGGAAACUGUCUUUCACUCCCAAGAAAGGGAAACCAAGUGUUGUCAUGUUUUCUUGUUUACAAGGUAAGCUUGCUAAUUUCACACUGAUUGGAAUUUUCUUUUUGGUCUGAAAGUUGAUUGAUUAUUUCACAUUUCUUAUGUGCAACAAUUUUAGUCAUUAAGUUCGAAUUGAAGAGUUUUAACGAUUGAUUAAUGUAUUGGAAAGAAAUUUCUUGGACUUUAAAAUGUACUUUCAGGUGAAGCAUGCUGUGUUUAACAAAAUGUGCAUAUUAUCGUCAGAAAAAAUGUUUGGAAACCUUCCCUAGUGUGUGCAGAUACAGUUCGAGCUGUGCAUUUGAUCAGUUUAAGCAGAAUGCCAGUAUGGCUAAGAUUCCAUUGUAUGGAAGGUGCUCUUUUUUCUUUGGACAAUUACAAGCCUUAUAGAGUUGUGAAGUUUGCGAAUGUUGAAUUUUUCUUAUCUUUCAGUAAACAUCUCAAUUCUAGAUAUUAGUUAUUUUUUAAUAGGGGAAGUGAAAGAAAGAGGAAUGUAGUAGUUGGAUUAGUAUCACAGUGGUUAUAGUUUGGUCUCAUACUCCACUGGUAUGGAUCACAGUUUGAUGUUUUUGGAGUUAGAACCACAGUUUCUGGUUGGGAAGAGUGAGGAAAAACAUGGUGGACAUUAAAAGGCAGCCAUCCUUGGUGUCCUGCCCAUCCAUCCCUGGCGUCCACUUGCAGUUGAAGGUGUGGAAACAUUCUCAAAGGUGAAUUGCAAUCUUAUAAUUGUUGACACUAGUGGGCAUCACAAACAAGAAGCUGCUCUUUUUGAAGAAAUGCGUCAAGUUUCUGAAGCAACGGUGUUUGUUCUGAAAUUUCAUGCUAUGUAAACUUGCUGAUGACUGCAUUUGCUUGAUAAUAUCUUUCUCUUAAUAUACUUCCUCUCAUAUUCCAGAAACCAGAUCUUGUUAUGUUUGUUAUGGUAGCAAUAUUGGUCAGGCUGCAUUUGAUGAAGCUCAAGCCUUCAGGGACAGUGUUUCAGUUUGGAGCUGUUAUUGUUGCAAAAAUGGAUGGUCGUGCAAAAGGAGGUGGUGCUCUCAGUGCAAAACUUCAAGGCCGAGUAACAUAGAAAUCUCAGUACUGGUCCCACCAAAGUGGUCAUAGGAGGGAAUAUCUAGAUACAAUCUUAACCCUUGGAAUUGAUUCGCUUGAAUUAGCCAAUCUCAAGAGUCAAGAAUUAAACUUGCACAGAAGUAUUUGUCAUCAUGACAUUGACAACAAUACACAUCUUGCCUGUGCAAAUGACAAAUAUCAUGCUACUCUGCCUUUCCAAAGUCGAUGCAUGAUUGCAAAUUGCAGCUAUUGAAGAAUUUUAUGGUAUGUCUCUGUAGUUGCUUAAAA